rnacentral:misc_RNA from 1 species
AUUGAGCCAGUUUGUAAUAAUUUCUGUAAAAUCCCCAAAACCCAGGCCCAAAACCCCCAUAUUUACUGUUUUCAUUCACCCUCUCUGUGAUUUCACCUGGCCACUGAUUUAUUAAUGUUGGGUUUGGGGUUUAUUUUUGGAAUGAAAUUAAAAGAACAGGGGGAACACCAAGUUUGAAAUCUUCGACUCCGUGCCUGCGUAGUAAGUGGAAGAGAAAGAAGUGGGGGGUGGCGCGUGCGAGUUGCUGUUAUGGCGAAGCGCGUUUAUGAAGUGUGGAA